GGAUCUCGAAAGCCUGUCCCAGUUCGGACUGGAGUCUGCAACCCGACUCCACGAAGUUGGAUUCGCUAGUAAUCGCGCAUCAGCCAUGGCGCGGUGAAUACGUUCCCGGGCCUUGUACACACCGCCCGUCAAGCCAUGGGAGCCGGGGGGCGCCUGAAGUCCGGGACCGCGAGGACCGGCCUAGGGCGAAACUGGUAACUGGGGCUAAGUCGUAACAAGGUAGC
rnacentral:rRNA from 1 species